GAAAGAGGGAGAGAGGGAGUCACACACACACACCCUGUCUCUUGCACGCACACACACAGAAACUGAGAAGUGUCUUGCUUGGGAGAUUGAGAGACACAUGCACGCACUCUCACUCUCUCACACAUGCACACACACACAGGGGGAGUGGUGAAGGCAGGCUCCGGUGCGUUUUGAAGCAGCAGUGAGAGUAAGAGAGAGGACUAGCCAGUACAGAGGACAGACGACUCUUAAGCUUGAACGGACCGUCACCUACCUACCAGCCCCCAGCCGAUGAGCCACAGCCACUGCCACAGCACCGUGAUAAAAGGGGUUAUGCCAAGAGAGCUUGAAAGGAAGGGAAGAUCCAGCUCUCCGUCCAUCUGUCCGUCCGUCCGCCUCUUCAUCCUCAACCCCCUUUUUUUCGGAGCUGGUAUCUCAGGUUGGACUGUCCCAUUUUGAAUUCUUCCUUUUCUCUUGUCAUUCUCUUGUUUUGAUGGCGGGAUGUUAAAGAUCAGGUGAAGAAAGGAGGAGCUACAUUGUGGACGUCUGCCAGGUCAUGUCGUUUAUACAUUUUUUGUUUGUUGUUUUUUCAACGAUCACUCAUUUGUCCUCCUCCUGACUGAAUUGAAGAGUGUGUGUGAGACGCAGGACUGGAGCCUAUGAGGACUUUGAGACUGAUCUGUUUUGAUAUGAUCCGGUCGUCAGGCAAAUUCUUUCCUAUCCUGACGGAGCAGUAUCAAAGUUAGCUGGAGCUCAAGGGAGAGGAGGGGGCCGUGGGGAGGGCCUGGGGCCCACGACAGAGCACCCGCAUUGGGACACAUGCAGAGAGGGACACUGGCAUAGUGGUUCUUCUCACCCACUGUUUUCUGUGUUCAGGAACAUGACAACAGUAGUUUUCUAUUGUCCUGUUGUCAUGUUGACAGAGGGACAGUGACAUACCAGGGCAACACCUGAACAACAACAACGGUAACAGCAAGGACAGGCAACAGCCAUAUCUAAAAGACAACAACAGGUAAACCACCAGUGACAGCAACAAUGCACUGCAUCUAACCAAACCUCAAUCAGCCAACACCUGAUAACUUUGGGUGGGCCUUUGACAAGGACUCCACCCCUCCAUCUCUCCAUCCCCCUCUCUCCCUGCUGUGGUGUCCUUCUCCCUUCAUCCUCCAGCGAGAAUCCCCUAGUGACCCCACUCUGCUACUAUAUUUAUCCAGAUAUUGUUGACAUUAUAUUGACAUUUAUAUGUCAAUCUAGGCAAGUUUGCUCAAAGGAUUCUGGGUAAUCACCCCGGGCGGUGCUCCAUCGCCCUGGGUGAAAGGGCAGGGGGGCGGCCCACGGUUCCCCCCGACCACAACCGGGUGAAGAGCGGGCGCGGGCAGCAAGAUGGCGGCUCUCGCCAGCUCGUUGAUCCGCCAGCGGCGGGAAGUGAAGGACCCCCAGGCCAACCGGCAGGUGGCCAACAAGAGGAAGCCGUGCCCCAAGGCCAACAAGUCCCUGUGCCAGAAACAGAUAUUAUUACUCAUUUCAAAAGUCCGACUAUGUGGCAAUCGAGGCCGAAAAUUAGAAAAAAGACCGGGACUACAAGCUGGCGAGAUCUAUUUUGAGUGGGGGACUGAAAGUGAAUGAAUGGUGCCACGGGCCUCACCUACACUGGACCUGAAAGGUUUCUCACAACUUUAACAGCUUUGUCAUUGAGAUCAGGACAACAAUAUUAAGGUAAGACACUGUAUAGCCAGUCGUGACCGGGAGUCCCAUAAGGCGGUGCACAAUUGGCCUAACGUGGUCCGGAUUAGGGGAGGGUUCUCCUUGGCUCACCGCACUCUAGCUACUCGUGGUGGGCCGUGCGCUUGCAAGCUGACUUCGGUCGUCAGUUGAGCUGUGUUUCCUCCGACAUAUUGGUGCGGCUGGCUUCCAGAUUAAUCAAGCAGGUGUUAAGAAGCAGCGGGGCUUGGUGGAUCAU